UAGGGCUAUAGCUCAGCGGUAGAGCGCCUCGUUUACACCGAGAAUGUCUACGGUUCGAAUCCGUAUAGCCCUAA
rnacentral:tRNA from 1 species